CUCUUACACAGCCGAUCGAGGACAUGCAUGGCAGACGCUUCUAUCUCUCCUACUUAAAACAUGUAUCCAAGACCCGUCUACCACACUCACAUGGUGAAGCCUCGCUGAACCCGCGCCUCACUCCUUACCCUCCCCAAUCAGAGCUCGUGCCUGUCCUCCCCUCCUCCCCACGCACCCCGACCCCAUCCCCUCCUCUGCUUAGCGCUCGCCUGUCCCCUCUGCUGCUGCGCGUGCUCGCGAGGGUGCGUGGUGCGCCGCCACUGCCUCGCGCUCCAGGAGCCGCCGAAGGGCCUGGUGCUGGCUGAGGUGUCCGCGCACGCCCGCCCACGCCCGCGCUCGCCUCCACUCCAACGACGGCGGCUGUGAUGACGACUGGGCUCGCCAACGACCGAGUCCCAUCAGCGACGAUCCCCACCGCGCCAACACCGAGGCCGAGCCCCUGCGCCAACGACGAGCCCUCCCCUGCAUCGCUAGAUCUUCAUCGGGCCUUCACCGGCGUCGAAGCCCGGCGGCAGCGAAGCCAACAGUGUGCUCGUGCGUCCGUUCCCCCGAUCCAGCUCGUGUCUUCGUCGCCGGUGUAGCUGUGCCGCCAAAUCAGGCUCUUGCCGCACUUUCCCCAUCUGCUCCUGUGAGGAGCACCACCAGGUUUUGGUUACGAUGCCAGAAAGAACUGGGAAACUGGCGAGUCGCCCACUCUCUGGAGGCUCUGACUGCUUUUAAGGUUUUUCUUGCUUGCCAAUUUACAUCUACUGAUGUCUAUUACAUAGAGCUGGCUUCAAUCAAACAAAUUAGCAAACUGAUGUAAGAAACCAACAGAAAUAUAUCUAGGUUAACAAAACAAGAAUUAUCUGUAGGCUAACAAAAUAAAUAGCUUAUCUCCUAAGCGACACGCCACUGCACUCUUGCCGCAUGGCAGAUAAUUGCUUAGAACUUUGAAACCCUGAACUCUUGAAUCAUAACUCUGAAGAUAGAGAAAAAGAGGAAAGUGAUGCUGCAGGUGGAGUAUCAAGCAGUGCUUUAAUCAAACAUGAAAAACUACAAAGUUUGUAAUGUCAAGUAGCUAGCACGCUUCUUCAGCACAGCUAUCUUAAUUGGUUCGAGUUUAGGUAUAUUUGUAGCACCCAUGCUGAGAUAUAUCAACAGCUAUCUUAAUUGCUUGUGCAUCCAUUGUCAUCUGCCAGAUAAUGAUCCAUUUGCUUUGUCAGCUGCCAGAUAAUGAUCCAUAAUCACUAAAGAUAACAGCUGCCAAAUAAUGAUCCAUUUUCAGGAGCGAAGGCUUCUUGCAAAAUAAUCUAACCCUAAAUCGGCAGACACUGAGUCUAUUAUUUCUCUAAAGCUUGGAAUGCUUGACUCAUCAUUUGCAUAUGUCCAUAACAAAGAGCUCCUAGGAGUACAUACCUGAGAAUUUGUUACAGUUUUGACAAUUUGUUUGGUUACUGUCUGAUAAGGACUGCUAAGCGUCCCUGCAGCCACCUUUUCAAAGUGCCUAAUGCAAAAUCUCUGACGGUAAUGACAACCAUGCCACUGGAAAUCUUUUUAGUGGUUCAAAGAUAUUCUGUAAUUUGCAUUUCAGCCAACCUGUGCCUAAGAUAUAAUAGUUUAAUUAGUUUGGUUGGGAAUAAACUAAAACAUGCUAUAGGUAAGCCCAAGCAUAGUGCCCCCAUAGGAUUAGCAAUUCUUCCACUAUGUUCUGGUGGCAGUGAAAUUGAUGCUUGCUUUGAAAUGUUAAAAAGAAUACCUGAUCAAGUGUUAGAUUUCUGAACAUGGAAACAUUUGAGUACUCAGAGGAAUACAUAAAAGUCUGAACAUUUUGAGUCCUCAGAGGAAUACAUAAUUACAUAGAAGUUUGAACAUUUUGAGUUCUUAGAGGAAUAUACAUAGAAGUCUGAACAUGCAAGUGUUAGAUUUGUCUAAAUUAGCUUACUGAAUUAAAGGUUCCCAAAUUUUCUACUAGGUCCUAAAUUAUGGGUUCCUAAUUACAGAAUUCCUAUUUCCUAGGAUCACCAACAAAAAUAAGUCACGUGAUUGCUGACAACAAAAUCUUAGAUAUACGAAACUGAGCCUAAACUGGAACAAUAGAUGAGUUAUAGUAGUACAAUUUGUUUUGAUUUAUGUUCAGGAUAGAAAAAAUUUCAUGAUGCAAAAAAUGCAGGAGUCUAUCUUAUUAUGUCAGUGAUUCUCUUGCCCAUCAUGGUAUUGAUUUCUGUUGCCAUUGCUUGUACUGCCAACAUUCAUACUUGGGAAUUAACAGCUAAAAUUUUGAUGCACUAUAAAACUUGACACACUUGCACUUAUAGGAUGGUAGUUGCGGCCCUUGAAGGCAAGUUCUUUUGAUGGAUAACUAUCAAUCAGCAUCUCCUACUUUGGCUGCUCUAAUAGAACCAGGUCUACAGCAGAGAAAAUUUUGAUUUCUCGCAGUGCCACCUUCUCCUAUGCAUGACAAUGUAAUUGUUGUGUUCAUGCAAGGAUUGACAACAAGACACUAUCAAUGCUAUUUGCUUUGUUCAGAUGAUAAACUACAGGCCAGUGACAUAAUCAUAGUUGGAUGUGGAAUUAUAAAGGCAAGUGAUACUUUGAAGACUGCAUGGGAGUACUACCACUUGCAAGUUGCAAGGGUUAGGACUUAGGACUCAACCGCGGAGGAGACUUUUCACUGCAUGCGCGCCAUCAUUAUUUGUGUUAAGUUACAAUAAUUCCUUCUCGGUUCACUUUGUUGUUGUUUGAGUUGGGCAUUGUGAUACUGGUGUUGGGUUAUAUAUUGUAUUAUUGCCCCUUGAGCUCCAGACUCUCAAGCACCAUCACGCUCGAAGUAUUAUUAUUUUUAUAACAGUACACCACACAUUCAUAUUCAUAUUAUCAUGGCAUUACAUCUUCCUGAGCAUUUCGACAAUGCUGCAUUUUGUUGA